GCCAGGGUGGCGUAGUGGUUAGUGCAUCUACCUCGUGUGCAGGCGUCCUGGGUUCGAGUCCCGGCCUUGGUA